GGCUCAAUGGUCUAGUGGUAUGAUUCCUGCUUCGGGCUUUCGUCCUUCCAUCACACAUGGGAAUGCAGGAGGCCCCGGAUUCGAAUUCCGGUUGAGCCC
rnacentral:tRNA from 1 species